rnacentral:rRNA from 1 species
UACAGAGGCCUCGAGCGUUAGGCGGAAUCACUGGGCUUAAAGCGUGUGUAGGCGGAUGCCUAAGUACCUUGUGAAAUCCCACGGCUCACCCGUGGAACGGCUCGGUAUACUGGGUGUCUUGAGCCACCUAGGGGCUACCGGAACAAAUGGUGGAGCGGUGAAAUGCGUAGAUAUCAUUUGGAACGCCAAUGGUGAAAACAACUCGCUGGGGAAGUGCUGACGCUGAGACACGAAAGCCAGGGGAGCGAACGGG